AAUAUGUUUGACUUUUCGCCUAGUAAACUUUUUUUUAUUCUCCAGAGUUCGGUGGAAACAAGAAGAGAGGUCACAAUCCGUUGCCUGAUGGUGUAUCUGAAAGAGAAAGAGGAGGAUCUCUUCAGAGAACAGCUGGAUGGUGAAGAACAGUUCCCAGAAGAAGUGGUAAAGAUCAUAGUCACCAGACGUGCAGCAGUGUCUCUUCCAGCCGUCACUAAAAUUGUGACUGAAGGAACAGCUAUCCUGGAAGAUCUUGAUGUGUCCAGAGCAUGUGCCUUAAUGAUGGGACUUAUAUACGCUCUCAAUCUGAGCUACCCCAAACAAGUAAAGAACACUCUAGAGGUAUUCCAUAAGGUGUUUCUGGAACUUGAUGGGCUUAAAGCCAGCCCACGGGUAAUGUCUCUUAAGUACAAACUUCUGUCAUAAAA